GUGUGGCCUUUGAGAUCAACUCUCCUGUACCAGCGUAGGCCGCAUGAGUGGGGGGCGGGCUCCCGCGGUCCUGCUCGGCGGAGUGGUGAGUGACCGGCCCCGCCCCGCCCCUUCCGGUCCUCGAAGCCUCGACCGCUACCUGCACCCCAAAUCCCAGAGGUUGGCCCCCUGAGGUGUGAGUGAAAUGAGCCUUUGCUUUAUUUUCUAAGUUUCUCUCUCACCUUCAGGGGCAUUCUUCAGGGGUGCGUCAGAGGGAGGGCAGAGCCUGAGGAUCUAAGCGAAGGCUUCCCCGGGUGUAAUUUCCUGGGCUGUUUGUGAGGAGAGAUCGAAUUCGCCUCCUGCUCUCAGGCCUCUCUGCUCCUGUCUUUUGUUUGGAUGCCGGCGCUGCUGCCUGUGGCCUCCCGCCUUUUGUUGCUACCCCGAGUCCUGCUGACCAUGGCGUCUGGAAGCCCUCCCACCCAGCCCUCGCCAGCCUCGGAUUCCGGCUCCGGCUACGUUCCGGGCUCGGUCUCUGCAGCCUUUGUCACUUGCCCCAACGAGAAGGUCGCCAAGGAGAUCGCCAGGGCCGUGGUGGAGAAGCGCCUAGCAGCCUGCGUCAACCUCAUCCCUCAGAUUACAUCCAUCUAUGAGUGGAAAGGGAAGAUCGAGGAAGACAGUGAGGUGCUGAUGAUGAUUAAAACCCAAAGUUCCUUGGUCCCAGCUUUGACAGAUUUUGUUCGUUCUGUGCACCCUUACGAAGUGGCCGAGGUAAUCGCAUUGCCUGUGGAACAGGGGAACUUUCCGUACCUGCAGUGGGUGCGCCAGGUCACAGAGUCAGUUUCUGACUCUAGCACAGUCCUGCCAUGAUGAACCCUGUUCCUGCCGUGAUCCCCUCAAUACUUCGCCUUCUGACUUCCAGGUGAUGACUGGGCCCCCAAUAAAUCCUGUCUUUGGGUCUCUCUGCCUUUUGCCUGUUUUUUCCUUGUCAUGUAUGCAAAUUUGUUGGGAGAAUAUAAGUGCUUCUAGUCCCUGUAUUCUCUACAUCUUUCAGAAUGACUCAGAGCUGCUA
rnacentral:sRNA from 1 species